rnacentral:rRNA from 1 species
AAAUUGAAGAGUUUGAUCAUGGCUCAGAUUGAACGCUGGCGGCAGGCCUAACACAUGCAAGUCGAGCGGUAGCACAGAGAGCUUGCUCUCGGGUGACGAGCGGCGGACGGGUGAGUAAUGUCUGGGAAACUGCCUGAUGGAGGGGGAUAACUACUGGAAACGGUAGCUAAUACCGCAUAACGUCGCAAGACCAAAGUGGGGGACCUUCGGGCCUCAUGCCAUCAGAUGUGCCCAGAUGGGAUUAGCUAGUAGGUGGGGUAACGGCUCACCUAGGCGACGAUCCCUAGCUGGUCUGAGAGGAUGACCAGCCACACUGGAACUGAGACACGGUCCAGACUCCUACGGGAGGCAGCAGUGGGGAAUAUUGCACAAUGGGCGCAAGCCUGAUGCAGCCAUGCCGCGUGUGUGAAGAAGGCCUUCGGGUUGUAAAGCACUUUCAGCGGGGAGGAAGGCGGUAAGGUUAAUAACCUUGUCGAUUGACGUUACCCGCAGAAGAAGCACCGGCUAACUCCGUGCCAGCAGCCGCGGUAAUACGGAGGGUGCAAGCGUUAAUCGGAAUUACUGGGCGUAAAGCGCACGCAGGCGGUCUGUCAAGUCGGAUGUGAAAUCCCCGGGCUCAACCUGGGAACUGCAUUCGAAACUGGCAGGCUAGAGUCUUGUAGAGGGGGGUAGAAUUCCAGGUGUAGCGGUGAAAUGCGUAGAGAUCUGGAGGAAUACCGGUGGCGAAGGCGGCCCCCUGGACAAAGACUGACGCUCAGGUGCGAAAGCGUGGGGAGCAAACAGGAUUAGAUACCCUGGUAGUCCACGCCGUAAACGAUGUCGAUUUGGAGGUUGUGCCCUUGAGGCGUGGCUUCCGGAGCUAACGCGUUAAAUCGACCGCCUGGGGAGUACGGCCGCAAGGUUAAAACUCAAAUGAAUUGACGGGGGCCCGCACAAGCGGUGGAGCAUGUGGUUUAAUUCGAUGCAACGCGAAGAACCUUACCUGGUCUUGACAUCCACAGAACUUNNNNNNNNNNNNNNNNNNNNNNNNNNNNNNNNNNNNNNNNNNNNNNNNNNNNNNNNNNNNNNNNNNNNNNNGGCCGGGAACUCAAAGGAGACUGCCAGUGAUAAACUGGAGGAAGGUGGGGAUGACGUCAAGUCAUCAUGGCCCUUACGACCAGGGCUACACACGUGCUACAAUGGCAUAUACAAAGAGAAGCGACCUCGCGAGAGCAAGCGGACCUCAUAAAGUAUGUCGUAGUCCGGAUUGGAGUCUGCAACUCGACUCCAUGAAGUCGGAAUCGCUAGUAAUCGUAGAUCAGAAUGCUACGGUGAAUACGUUCCCGGGCCUUGUACACACCGCCCGUCACACCAUGGGAGUGGGUUGCAAAAGAAGUAGGUAGCUUAACCUUCGGGAGGGCGCUUACCACUUUGUGAUUCAUGACUGGGGUGAAGUCGUAACAAGGUAACCGUAGGGGAACCUGCGGUUGGAUCACCUCCUUA